AUCGAGUUGAAAUACUGUUUUACCUUUUCAUUUUCACUAGUUGUGUAUAAUGCUAUCUCAGUAUCAUAGAUGCUUUUACAGUAUUUUUAUUAUUAUAAAAGGCAACUAAAUUCGAUGAUUGAACUGAAUCGCUAUCGUUUGGUUUGUAACUUAUAAUGUACACAUGCCUGGCAAGAUUCUUGCUUUGCUUUACUUUUAUCACACUUUAAUAAAUCGUCCGACAAAUUUAAAUCAUUUUCACCUAUAAUUGCAAUAGAACAUCAAAUAAGUGUAUAUAUUCUUCUAGCACUUCUAUAAACACCACAACUGCUGCACUAGCUACUUUAUUGCCAAUUAACUGAUGGCCUAAAUAUCUGAUUAGUUUGAAAGCAGAGGACUAGUGAGCGCUAUAAACAAAAUUAUAUUCUAUAUUUUAUAUUGGGUAUUCCUAUAUUCGUUAGGUACUAAAUACUGAGUUUUACUUCACCUUUUAGUCGAUAUCGUUGAGACUUUUACCAAUAGCAACUAUAAUGAAUUAGGGGUUUUUCGUGCUAUAACAUUACCGCUCAAUUUCUUUCAAACCACCAAGCGUCAAAUUAGAACUACCUACUAAGCAUUCGAAUAUGCAAUAAAAUUUCACCUUUGCCAUAACCAUAAAUUUUACUAUUGUUGGAUAAGUCUUAU